rfam:Synergistales bacterium 53_16 MPI_scaffold_2775, whole genome shotgun sequence.
GGGACCAGUACGCGUUGCGGUGCAACGCUGGCCAAGGA